UGGGGAAUUUUGGACAAUGGGCGAAAGCCUGAUCCAGCAAUGCCGCGUGUGUGAAGAAGGCCUUCGGGUUGUAAAGCACUUUUGUCCGGAAAGAAAUCCUUGGCUCUAAUACAGUCGGGGGGAUGACGGUACCGGAAGAAUAAGCACCGGCUAACUACGUGCCAGCAGCCGCGGUAAUACGUAGGGUGCAAGCGUUAAUCGGAAUUACUGGGCGUAAAGCGUGCGCAGGCGGUUUGCUAAGACCGAUGUGAAAUCCCCGGGCUCAACCUGGGAACUGCAUUGGUGACUGGCAGGCUAGAGUAUGGCAGAGGGGGGUAGAAUUCCACGUGUAGCAGUGAAAUGCGUAGAGAUGUGGAGGAAUACCGAUGGCGAAGGCAGCCCCCUGGGCCAAUACUGACGCUCAUGCACG
rnacentral:rRNA from 1 species